CCUUACCGCAUCCUGAAUUCAAAUGAUGAUUUCAUUUGGUAGAAGACCUUACCUAAUCUGCCUUUAAAUGCCCGACAGGUGGCGAAAAACAAACUGUAUUUUUCUACCACACGAUGACACUGUCGUCGAGAUCUAGAGAGCCUAUAUAAAGAGUACCACCGUGAUGCUUUAUCCUUUUGCACCUAGAACCUCACCGGUACCAAAUAAGUAAUUCUUUUGUUGAUUUUGUUGGGUGAAUGCGUUUUGAGUAUAGUUCUUAUUGUUUUCCUGAUGCUUGUUAAUUAAUUUUUGGGGUUAUACGCAUUCCAAUUUUCAGAUAUUUCUGGGACUUGUCACUUUUAAUCAAUAAUACUACGCUUGCUCAAUUCUUCAUUUGAUUAUUAUCUUUGUUCCUAAUGUGAGUUAUGUUUAGUACGUUUUGUGUUUGAGAUCAUAUUAUAGUUGAGAUUCAAUUGUAAUUAUGAUGGGAGAACUUGGUUCAACAGAAUAAAAUGUCACUGGCUAGUGUUUCUUUCUAUGUGGUUCCAGGUUGUGAUGGAUAUCUUAUAGUAAAGGGUUUGGUUUGUUGAUUUUAUGGAUUGAUAUAAUUUUUUCUAUGUUAAAUCCUCAAUCAUACCACCAGUUUUAUGUGUUACAUGAUCUACAAUUAAUUAUUAAGACAUAGGUUUAUGGGAAGUUUGAAAAAAUAUUCCACUGAAAGCUUUUUUGUGAAGCAGUCUUAUUUAUCCAGUGGUGUUUGUCAUGAUUGUUUCUCACUUCCUUGAGUGUAAGUAUAAUUUGACCAUGAGGUUUUAUUGUGAUGGGUGAAAGAAUAUAUUUAUAAUUAUUGCCCUCA